AAAACUAAUAGUAUAUUAUAUAAAUAAAUUACACGGAUUUCUAAAAUUGAACAACAGACUACUAUAAUACUAAAUUAUAAAGAACUAAAUUGGACACCAAGGUUUCCUACACGAGAUAACCCGUGAAGGGGUUAGUUCUUGCUUAUUUUUUUUGAAUCAAUUAGCGAGUGGUAAAUGUUCGAGAACGGGAGGAACGCACAUGGACGCAGAAAUUGACGUCAGAUAACAAAGUAACAAAGAUAACCAAUUACAAAUAUGCAUACAAUUAAAAAAUUAAUGAAACUAAGAAAUAAUAAAAAGGAUGAACAUACUUCGCACGUGGGCGUAGCCACUGUUGUAGGUGAGAGGUAAGGAAGGUGGGAUACAGACGGGAAUUUAAUGUAUAUUUGUUGUAAGCAACCAUAAACCAUUGCUUACGAAAAAACGAUUCUGAAUUCAGUUGAUAGUGUUGCUUUGUCAACAAUGUAUAUCAUUUUACAGUAAGAUAAUUAAAC